rnacentral:rRNA from 1 species
UACGUAGGGGGCGAGCGUUGUCCGGAUUUAUUGGGCGUAAAGAGCGUGUAGGCGGCCAGGUAGGUCUGCUGUGAAAACUCGAGGCUCAACCUCGAGAUGUCGGCGGAAACCGUCUGGCUAGAGUCCGGAAGAGGAGAGUGGAAUUCCUGGUGUAGCGGUGAAAUGCGCAGAUAUCAGGAAGAACACCCGUGGCGAAGGCGGCUCUCUGGGACGGUACUGACGCUGAGACGCGAAAGCGUGGGGAGCGAACAGG